rnacentral:antisense_RNA from 1 species
GGACUGGCUGCUCAGACUCCACAAUUUAAUGAAAAAUCUCAGAUGAUGACUCAGAAAACCUCUAAUGAUCUGAGGAAUAUAUUAAGGGAUUCCAGAGUCAAAGGCUGAUCAUGGAGGGCAUUGAUGAGGGAAGACUUCAGACCAAGUGGCACUCUUGUCGCCGAAAAUGGAGUGCAAUGGCAUGAUCUCGGCUGACUGCAACCUCUGCCUCCUGGGUUCAAGCGAUUCUCCUGCCUCAGCCUCCCAAGUAGCUGGAACUAUAGCACGUUUUUCAGCACCAGGACAAGCAUCAUUGCUCAAGGAGAGCUUGGUUGACAACAGGAAGUUAGAAGGAGUCUGAAUUGUAACAAGUGUGGCAAGAGCACCAAGAUCACUCUGUGUGUGUUCACAGAAAAUGUACCAAAGGGAGAGGCCUUAAAAACAAAUGGCAGGUGUGGGCACCAGAGAAUCAACACAUCAGGAAGAGAAAAAUGGCAUGGUUUUAGUGUAAUUGUAAAAAGACGCCCUAAAGAGUGUCUAUCGGAUCACCCUCAGGUUGGGUCAAACGCUCCUCUUCUCGGCUUUUCGGGAGCAACCCUAUCUCAACAUUCACCAUCUUAAGAUGAGCAGACUGCAAGUUUGCCUCUCCCACCAGCAUGGGAGCUGCCGAAGCGGCAAGAACAGCGUUUCCGUCCACCGAGCGCCAGGUCACCAGUCAGCUCCAGUCCUAUUUUGAGUUGAAGUAAAAGCUCCUCCCUA